rnacentral:tRNA from 1 species
UGAGAAGGACAGCUCAGUUGGUAGAGCAUGAGACUCUUAAAUUUCAGGGUCAUGGGUUCGAGCCCCAUGCUGGGCAAAA